rnacentral:lncRNA from 1 species
CACUUAUUAGUUUACAAGUUAUGUCAGUUGAAAAGUGAUAAGAUGGAUAUUUUGAAUAUAAUUAUAUAUGUGAAGAUUAAGAGUGAAGUAAUUAGCAAUUACAAAAAAUCAAAAUAAAUCAAAAGAAGAGAAUAAACAACAUUCACUUUGGGAUAUCGGGUGUUGUAAUGAAAUAAAAUAUAAUUACGGUACAGCAGCGGGAUAUUUAGAAGGUUUUGUUUUAACAUGUUUAACUUAAAUUUUUAUAAAUACGUUCAUAAUUAUUUAGAUUCUUAUAAAAAACAUAGUAUGAUAAUUUUCGUAUAAUUAUUAUUUUUUAUAAGAACGGGGUAACCGGUUGCAUAUAAUUGGGUGCUUUUUAAACCCUCCAAAUUACGUUGGAUUUCAUUAUUCAGCUCAAACUUUUGUAUUCAAAGGGAACUAACUCUUUCUAUUAAAACAAUUGUUAGUUUAAAAUUAGGAUCAAUUAGGUCAUAAAAUAGAAUCCACCACAACAGGAACAUAUAUAUAUGUUAGAUAUACUGUUCCCAAACCACAACAAUAGGAUUCUUCAAAUAUCGUAAUAUUUAUUAUAUUUAAAUGUUAUGUUUUAUGUAUGUUUUAUUGUUCCUUAAAACCGCUCAGUAUAAC